GCAGCCGCGGUAAUUCCAGCUCCAAUAGCGUAUAUUAAAGUUGUUGUGGUUAAAAAGCUCGUAGUUGGAUCUCAACAGCCUUGAAGCGGUUAACUUUGUAGUUUUACUGCUUUAUAGGCUGUGCUUUUGCUGGAGGUUUAGGGGUGCUCUUGAUCGAGUGUCUCUGGAUGCCAGCAGGUUUACUUUGAAAAAAUUAGAGUGCUCAAAGCAGGCUAAAAUGCCUGAAUAUUCGUGCAUGGAAUAAUAGAAUAGGAUGUCGAUCCUAUUUUGUUGGUUUUCGGGACUCGACAUAAUGAUAAAUAGGGACAGUCGGGGGCAUUUGUAUUCAAACGACAGAGGUGAAAUUCUUGGACCGUUUGAAGACAAACUACUGCGAAAGCAUUUGCCAAGAAUGUUUUCAUUAAUCAAGAACGAAAGUUAGAGGUUCGAAGGCGAUUAGAUACCGCCCUAGUUCUAACCAUAAACGAUGCCAGCUAGCGAUCUGCCUGCGUUUUUACUGUAGACUGGGCAGGAAGCUUCCGGGAAACCAAAGCAUUUGGGUUCCAGGGGAAGUAUGGUUGCAAAGCUGAAACUUAAAGGAAUUGACGGAAGGGCACCACCAGGAGUGGAGCCUGUGGCUUAAUUUGACUCAACACGGGAAAUCUCACCAGGCCCGGACACUGGAAGGAUUGACAGAUUGAUAGCUCUUUCUUGAUUCGGUGGGUGGUGGUGCAUGGCCGUUCUUAGUUGGUGGAGUGAUUUGUCUGGUUAAUUCCGAUAACGAACGAGACUCUGUCCUGCUAAAUAGUUUCUACUUCUCUUUUGAGUAGAAAUUUCUUCUUAGAGGGACUGGUGACUCUUAGUCACACGAGAUUGAGCAAUAACAGGUCUGUGA
rnacentral:rRNA from 1 species